rnacentral:snRNA from 1 species
GGGCUCUCUUCGGAAGCCCAUAAACUAAAGUUAAAAUGAUACAGAGAAGAUUAGCAUGGCCCCUGCACAAGCAUGACAUGCAAAUUUGUAAAGCAUUUCAUAUUUUU